GUGUGUGUGAGCUGCUGCUGUCUGCUCUGACUGUUUCUGCAGUGUCUCUGUCAGUCAGUCCAAACCUUCAGCAGUUCUUCAGUGGAUCUUCUUCAGUGUCUCUGAGCUGUGUUGAUGGAUGGACAGUGAGGAGGACCAGAGGAGGACUCACUGAGGACUGUGGAGCAGCUGCAGGCUUUAAGAAGGUUAACAGUUCCUCAUGUCUUCUGGAUCUCUCUGUCUCCUCUGAUGGAAGUUACUUCUGUGUGAAUCCAUCUGGACAGCAGAGCGAUGGAGUCUCCUUCACUGUGUCAGAUAAAGGUGUGAUCCUGGAGAUCCCUGCACUUCCUGUGAGGACAGGAAGUGAUGUCACUCUGCGCUGUAAACCCAAAGAUGGUUCUAGACCAAAAUCUUAUUUCUUCAGAGAUGGUGGUGAACUUGGACCUGGACCUGAAGGAGAGUGGAUUCUGUCUAACGUUCAGAAGUCUGAUGAAGGUCUC